rnacentral:rRNA from 1 species
CUAGCGUUGUUCGGAAUUACUGGGCGUAAAGCGUAUGCAGGCGGACUUUUAAGUCGGGGGUGAAAUCCCGAGGCUCAACCUCGGAACUGCCUUCGAUACUGGAAGUCUUGAGUCCGGGAGAGGUGAGUGGAACUCCGAGUGUAGAGGUGAAAUUCGUAGAUAUUAGGAAGAACACCAGUGGCGAAGGCGGCUCACUGGAUCGGUACUGACGCUGAGGUGCGAAAGCGUGGGGAGCAAGCAGG